GACGAACGCUGGCGGCGUGCUUAACACAUGCAAGUCGAACGGAAAGGCCCUGCUUUUGUGGGGUGCUCGAGUGGCGAACGGGUGAGUAACACGUGGGUAACCUGCCCUUGACUUUGGGAUAACUUCAGGAAACUGGGGCUAAUACCGGAUAGGAGCUCCUGCUGCAUGGUGGGGGUUGGAAAGUUUCGGCGGUUGGGGAUGGACUCGCGGCUUAUCAGCUUGUUGGUGGGGUAGUGGCUUACCAAGGCUUUGACGGGUAGCCGGCCUGAGAGGGUGACCGGCCACUUGGGACUGAGAUACGGCCCAGACUCCUACGGGAGGCAGCAGUGGGGAAUAUUGCACAAUGGGCGGAAGCCUGAUGCAGCAACGCCGCGUGCGGGAUGACGGCCUUCGGGUUGUAAACCGCUUUCGCCUGUGACGAAGCGUGAGUGACGGUAAUGGGUAAAGAAGCACCGGCUAACUACGUG
rnacentral:rRNA from 1 species